rnacentral:lncRNA from 1 species
UGGUCUUAGGACCUUAAAAUACUUAAUAAAAAACAAAAAAAAACCCUAAAAAAUGUUUGGUGGACUGUUGAUUUUGAUCUGAACUUUUGGACUUAGGAUUAGGCAACAUUCCUUGUGCAAAAAGGACUUGGCCAAUGCCAACAUUUUGAAACCAAGUUGUUGUGAACUGAGACUUCAUCUGAUGCAAGCCUGGGAACUCUCUUUGAAUUCAUCUGUAUCUUUGUCUUUGUGCUAAUUGUUAUUUUGAUCUUGUGUCUGAGGCUUUGU